UAUAUAUGUAUAUAUAUAUAUAUAUAUAUAUUUAUGUAUAUAUAUAUUUAUAUAUUAUAUUAUAUGUAUAUGUAUAAUCUUGCUUGUAAAGAAGCAGGUUUGAAAAAGGGGCUAUGUACAUAUAAAUACAUAUGUGUGUAUAUAAGCAAAAUUGUAAAGGACUUGCGGACAUAUAGAUGGAUAUAUUUCUGUAUGUGUGUGUGUGCAUAUAUAUAUAGAUAUAUAUAUUAUAUCAGGAUUGAAAUGGAGAUGCCUACACAUAAAUGUAUUUGUAUAUCUGAGUGUGUGUGUGUGUGCGUAUAUAAAUUACAUGUGUGUAUAUGGUCUAUAUAUUAUAUAUGUGUGUUUAUAUUUUGUAUGUAUACACGUGUGUGUGUGUAUAUAUACGUGUAUAUAACAGUUCAAACUAAGAUGUGGAUAUUGCAAUUCAUACAUGUGUUUGUGUGUGUGUGUAUAGAGUGUAUAUUUUUAUGUUCACUGUCUCUCUUUGACACUUAUAUUUACUUCUAAUGAAUUUCUUAAUUUAAAAAGCAAAAAAUCUAAUGAAAUAAAGAAAAGCUAUUGACUAAUUUGAAA